rnacentral:rRNA from 1 species
GAUGAACGCUGGCGGCGUGCCUAAUACAUGCAAGUCGAGCGAACGGACGAGAAGCUUGCUUCUCUGAUGUUAGCGGCGGAAGGGUGAGUAACACGUGGAUAACCUACCUAUAAGACUGGGAUAACUUCGGGAAACCGGAGCUAAUACCGGAUGAUAUUUUGAACCGCAUGGUUCAAAAGUGAAAGACGGUCUUGCUGUCACUUAUAGAUGGAUCCGCGCUGCAUUAGCUAGUUGGUAAGGUAACGGCUUACCAAGGCAACGAUGCAUAGCCGACCUGAGAGGGUGAUCGGCCACACUGGAACUGAGACACGGUCCAGACUCCUACGGGAGGCAGCAGUAGGGAAUCUUCCACAAUGGGCGAAAGCCUGACGGAGCAACGCCGCGUGAGUGAUGAAGGUCUUCGGAUCGUAAAACUCUGUUAUUAGGGAAGAACAUAUGUGUAAGUAACUGUGCACAUCUUGACGGUACCUAAUCAGAAAGCCACGGCUAACUACGUG